rnacentral:lncRNA from 1 species
CCGAAAGUGUUAUAUUACUCCCUUAACGCAUAAAAGCAUUGUUCAUUACAUGUGAUUAGAAAACUUCUGAAACUUCUGCAGAAAAUGUGUUUAAAUAGAUAGCCAGGGUGCGCAAAUAACUUUAUACAAAGGAAUAAAAUUAAUAAACACUAACAUGUAAAUUGUAGUAGUGGCAAGUCGAAUUUUCACGCAGUUUCUGAUGAACGUUGAAAAUCUAUAACUAUUGAAAGUAAGAUGCAAGACAAUAUGAAAAGUAUUAACGAAACCUCUUUAACGUCAUUGUCAGAUCAAGACAAACUAUUGCAAGAAGCCAACCGGCGAAAAGUAAUAGAACACAUUCCUCUGAUAGUUGUUUUGUUUAUAAUAACAGUUAUCGGAAUAAUCGAAAAUAUACUGACAAUUUCAUUUUAUGGCUUCAGAGCGAAAAGGACGCCAACCUUCACAUUAAUAAAAUUGUUGGCAAUCGUUGACCUAAUUGUCUGUUUCCUCUGCUUUACAACAAUUGCAGACCUUUUCGUAAACAUCAAGUUUACAAGUGCAGUACUUUGCAAAUUGAUGUACUUUUUAGACCAUUGGUCAAUGCAAUCGUCCGUGCUGAUACUUUGGAUAAUAUCCAUUCACAGAUACAGAAGACUCUGUAAGCCUGUUGGACGGCAAUUAACCGUGAAAUCUGCCACUAUAGCAGUCAUCCUUUUGUCAGGAUUUUCAAUGAUAUAUUGCACGAAUAUCUUUAUUACUUAUAAUCCCGUGAAAGUUAACAUCUCUACUUCAGAUGCUUCUAUUCCGAUUGUGAUUGGUCAUUACUGCACGAAUACGGAUGAACCAAAUUUGAAUGGUGUCCUUCUUACUUUCCAUAUCAGUGAUGUUGUAUUAGUAAUAUUUGUUUAUUACAUUUGUCUUUACAUACGGCAAUAUCUGGCGAACGGUUAGAAAACACAACAGGAAAACGGCGGCAAUACAUAACGUUCCAUCUAAACACCCAAGGCAAAAGUUAGCGGAUGUCCGUUUAGAUAGCAAAACACCGAUAAGUAAUGCCAGCUCUAAAGAUAAUUUGUCUGCUGAACAAGCAACAAUAUUUCAAUCGCAUAUAGAUUCAACUACUGUAGAAACAGAAAUUUUUUCAACCAAGCAAUCAGGUUCUUCUGAUCAGACUUUGGCUAAAAUUGGAAAGGUAACCGCCGUCAAAAGCUUUAGGAAGGUCCAGACACCAUCAAAAUCAGCGACAGUUACGCGUGAACGUAACAUUACCGCUGUUAUGUUUGCCGUUACCGUGGGGCUAGUGAUAUGUUUCACUCCAUAUUUCAUUGCUUCCGUCGGAAUACGAGCGAUGUCUGCCACAACAGAAGAGGAACUAAACACCGGCAUGGAGCUGGCACUUAGGUUUCCCUUCUUUAACAGUGUCAUCAACCCCAUCAUAUUUUGCGUUUUAAAUUCUCAAUAUAGAAGGUACAUUAAGGAGAAACUGACAUUAUGCUUAAAUACGGAAUCACAUUAAAAUGUAACAAUACGUGACUGAAAUUCUGGAUUACGAAUUAUGUUUUUGUUAUCUUAAAGUUUGGAAAAGGAUGUGUGUACUUAUGCUGUAUCAGGCAUUUGAUAUGACUGACUAGACAGACAAAAGAUCUACCUGUGUUUUACAAACUUUUGAUUGGCCUUGACUUCUUUUGUUCUUUCUCGAUGUCUGAUUUACAUUUCAAGUCAAACUGUGUACGUAAACAAAGAUAUUUUACCUGUCCAAACAAAGAUGUGAAUAACUAGCCUUUAAACACAUUGCGUUAUAUUGCCUGUCCUCAUUCGCUUGUUUGUAAAUGUUCUAGCUAUGUGUAACUUUGCCAGUAAAGUAUAGAAGCAUUACAAAAUAACAGUUCUAGAAUUCUAAGCGAAUAUAAAUGCUGAUGCAAGACAAUAUUUUGGCGGUUUAAAACUAACUCAUUUAAUGCGUGGACAAGAAAUCAAGCCAGUGACAAAAUACUGACAAGGUAGCUUUGCCAACGGUAUAAUGUCGUUUGAAAAUUAAGUCUAAUAUUGAAAUUUAAAAGGAUAAUCAGGUAUUUUAUAAAGAAAUGGGUUAGUACAUUUUUCCGUUCAUGACCAUGGUUCUUACAGUAUACCUGAUGCGAAUUACUCACUGACACCAGACCAGAAUGAAAAUGCCACUGUACAUGAUAUACACUACCCUAUAGGUAUAUUGUAAGAACCAUGAUCAUGAAUGGGAAAGAAAAUAUAUUUACCCAUUUAAACCGUGCAUUUCUCACGUUAAACGAGCAUUUCGACAAAUGGGUACUAUGCUGCAUAUUGAACGAGUGGUUAUUUAUCUUCCUUUUGCACCAGUUACAUUGUCUCAAUAUUUUAUAUGGCAGAUUAUACUUUCGUCAAUGUUACAGGAAAAACUUGGAUUAACUUCUCUAGCGAACUUCCGGUCUAGACUACACGGUUGUGUGCACAUGUUAGGCGUAAAGUAAACAAAUAAAAGCAGAAUGUAACAUAUUCGCAAUUAUAUGAUGAAUGAAAGUCGUCUGAAAAAUUGAAAUCAUAAAGUGGUACACAUUUGUAUCGUUUAUUCAUUUCACAUAAUGUACCGUGCUAUUUCGAUGCUUGAUCGGGCCUAUCUUAUUAGAAAAUCGGGUAAAUCUGCGAGUACAAAUAUGCAGGUAAUGGAUAACGUUUAAACGAUUGGUCUAUCAUAUACAGAAUAGCCUGAAUUUAUAAAAUGUCUGAGAUAAGUUUACCACGAAUUUGUGGGAUUGAACAAAUUCUUUUUACUGUUUUGUGUUUCAUUUUAAAGCAUGCAGCCAGAAGCAUCACAAUGCAAAAGUAUAUGAAGCCGAUAACACUAAACAACGUAUACACUGUUAUUAUUUAAGAAGGUAUGACAUAUCAAGGUAAAACCCUUAUCUUUACGUUUAACAAACAAACCCGACAGAUUGUAUAAGGGUAAAGCAUGUUUGUUUCGUGUAUCAUAAAUAACACCUGCAGAAUCCAAAGCCGAGUUCAGGAGGGCAUAACCAGCAGGAAUAUAUUGAUGUUCUACUGCGCUAAUGUUCAUGAAAUGAACGGAUAUAUCAGCGUUGUUUUAUUAUGUCUGCGUCACUUUCUUUUGAAUUGUGCGUCAAAGGGGCCGCGAUACGUUUACGCUUUGUCGCGGGAAGCGCAUAUGUAAAAUGCGAGAAUCUCUCUGUUAGCUUGUUAAACCACCUUCUGAAAACGACAAAAUUGCAGUAUCAUACUAAACGAGAAAGAGUGUUUCAAUAUAAACCGUUCAUAAAUAUUGUCUAGAUCUCACUGAAUUGCUUUAAUACAAUAGAUAACAAGCGAAACUAGUUUCUAAAUUUUAAGCAAAGAACUAGAGUCGUUCCUCUUUAUCUUCAACUUGAUACAAGUGGUAAUUGUUUUGAAAGCAUAGUGCGAAUAGUUAACAGCAAAUCGAGAGCUCAGAGCGAAACUAGUCUAUCUGCUUCUAUUUCUAUAUACACUUAGACAAGUUUCGCCCUGAGCCCUCGAAAUGUAAUGUGGACGUACACUACGGUUUACGCUUUUCCAAGGAAAGUGCGCAUGUGCUAAUAUUUAUCAUCAGUUACUAUCACAAACUUUCUAAAUCAAUAAAGGGAUGGAGAAAUUGUCCUCAAGGAUGUUAAACAAACAGGGCCAGGGAGUGCUGUAGUAUGCAGACUGGCAAUUCGUGCGAAGGGAGAUGGCAAGAAUUAUCUUAUUCUUUGUGCUUAUUUCCACUAUACAGAGUUCCACAGAUGGAGAAACCUUCCCAAACCAAAGAAAUGAGGAUACGUCUAAUGGCAUAGGGCUAAAGUUGAAAGCCCUGGUACAGACUACUGCAGAAUUAGGUGCUGCCAUCCACAAGAAAGGCAGAAAUACCAGAAUCAAAGCAGUAAUUAGCCCUGACAAAGCAAGCCUCCGGAGAAAGUCAAUCGAACCGGACACAGAACAGGACACUAAGGGAAAUCCAAAUCAAGGUUUGGGAUACUUGGUUUCCACAGAAGAAAAUACAAUGGAAACACGUGCAGAUGCAGGAAACACCGUUUUACUUGAGGAUAGUCAGAAGAAUAUAAAACUGAGUAUGCCACGAAAUAAUCUCUUGGUCAACAAUGCUGAAAGGAAACGGUUCCAUGGAAACAAAAGAAAUGUCCCUGCACAUAAUAUCAGGCACUGGUCCUCCCGUGGACAUGCUGUGUUUAAUUCACUAGUGCGCAGAAUUUAAAGAAUUUGAUAGGUUUGCAUUCUACAAUGAAACAACAUUUUACUGUUCGUUUUUGUAACAAUCAUGUAUGCACACUUCAUAUCGAGAACUGACCAAAGAUGAAUACUGCGAAAUCAGUUAAAUUUGUAGGCAUAGAAUUUCUGCUUUAACAGCAAUAUCUUGGGGAAAUGUAUUGGAUUAUGUAAAUUUCAGAAAAUAAAAUGAAUGGGAUGUCAAUUUGUUCGUUAGUCCUUAUC